AGCCUACGGGGGGCAGCAGUGGGGAAUAUUGCACAAUGGGGGAAACCCUGAUGCAGCGACGCCGCGUGAGUGAAGAAGUAAUUCGUUACGUAAAGCUCUAUCAGCAGGGAAGAAAAUGACGGUACCUGAGUAAGAAGCCCCGGCUAACUACGUGCCAGCAGCCGCGGUAAUACGUAGGGGGCAAGCGUUGUCCGGAAUUACUGGGUGUAAAGGGAGCGCAGGCGGGAAGCCAAGUCAGCUGUGAAAACUACGGGCCUAACUUGUAGACUGCAGUUGAAACUGGUUUUCUUGAGUGAAGUAGAGGG
rnacentral:rRNA from 1 species